rnacentral:rRNA from 1 species
UGGGGAAUUUUGGACAAUGGGGGCAACCCUGAUCCAGCAAUGCCGCGUGUGUGAAGAAGGCCUUCGGGUUGUAAAGCACUUUUGUCCGGAAAGAAAACGUCGUGGUUAAUACCCGUGGCGGCUGACGGUACCGGAAGAAUAAGCACCGGCUAACUACGUGCCAGCAGCCGCGGUAAUACGUAGGGUGCAAGCGUUAAUCGGAAUUACUGGGCGUAAAGCGUGCGCAGGCGGUCCGCUAAGACAGAUGUGAAAUCCCCGGGCUUAACCUGGGAACUGCAUUUGUGACUGGCGGGCUAGAGUAUGGCAGAGGGGGGUAGAAUUCCACGUGUAGCAGUGAAAUGCGUAGAGAUGUGGAGGAAUACCGAUGGCGAAGGCAGCCCCCUGGGCCAAUACUGACGCUCAUGCACGAAAGCGUGGGGAGCAAACAGGAUUAGAUACCCUGGUAGUCCACGCCCUAAACGAUGUCAACUAGUUGUCGGGUCUUAUUGACUUGGUAACGUAGCUAACGCGUGAAGUUGACCGCCU